UUAGGAAAGGAGCUAAUAAGUCAGUCAAUGGAAUGAUUCCGAGAUGACACAUCAAGGACUCUUGUUUAACAUUGUAGAGCUUGAGAUUGCGUGAUCCUACGGAGAUGAGCUAUCAUCUUUGACCUUUUGACCGACCGUUGGAAUCGCGCUUAUAUCCUCUCUACGUAACGGCCCGGUCCAAAACGACUUCCAUUCACGCUCUCGUACAAAACCCUAACCAGCGCAUGGCGAUUUGGAUCCAGUUCUCGACGAAGUUUUAUUUGUAGUAAACGCCAUGGCCACCUCUCCAUCACGUAUUAAUCUUCAUCAUCUUCCACCGACGCGUACUUGGCCAUCUGAUAUCUGGGUUUCUGACCCGACUAUCUGGCAAAUUUGAUCGGUUGUGAUUGCGAGAUGGUGCGUAUCCAUCCCAUAGACUCAAUUUGCCUUCUAGAUCGGAGCACUUCUAUAUUUCUUCAGAUUUCCUUUCGAAGUGUUCUCAGGACAGGGGAGGAUUGGUGUAGAUUGAGGUCAUAUAAACUGAUGAACCAAAAAGCCACCUCUAGCUAUUGAAAUAGAAGUUGAAGUCAGGCCUUGAUACUAGUAAAUAUACUUUCCAAAUCUAAAUUAGGAGAGGAGCUGAAUGAUUCCUAGAUGAUAUCAAGGGCGUUUGUUCCAUGAUGUGGAGCUUGAAGAUUUCUUUUUACCUUUACAAGAUCGUUAUGGGGGCUGAAAUAUACUUCCGGUAAACCUCUGUUCAUUCGCUGAGCUUCGAUUUUUUCUGCCUAAUUUGGCCUUAUGUUUUAUUAGCACAUCUUCCUAUUUUUUUUGAAGUCCAAAUUGAAUCUUCUGCCAAAUUAGUAGUUAUUAUUUUCUUUUACCGUUACUCCUGUUUAUAUGUUUUUAUAAUGUUAUGCCAUGCCAUGGAUUGGGAAUUAUUAUUUUCAGAUUGGUCUUAUUUUAUUGUUGUACGGCUGUGAU